ACACACGCGGUCUGUGCAGCUAACACCAGGCGCCUACCCGGAGGACUCAGCUGUUCUGUUUACAUCGUGGCGGCACCUCUCACCCUGACCCACGCAAAGGUUCUGGAGAUUUCUGGAGAAUAUAUUUAUUAAAGCCACCUCUUCACUGAAAGUUACCAAAAGGCAUGUGUUCACCUGUCCCCCUCCUCGCAGCAGCCUCAGGACAAAACAGAAUGACUCAAGGACAGCACUUCCUGCAGAAAGUCUAGAAGUGCCCAGAAUGGGAGGCACGGAAGCCCCUCCCAGGGAGGACUCUCCCUCAUUGACGGACCAUUCUUGGUGCAGAUUCCUGACUGCACGCACCGAACCGUAGACAAGCGGGCAUCCAUCCAUGUUGCCCCAGAGUGCCCAGGAGGCAGGCAGCGCGGGGCGCCCAGACAGACGGGUUCAGCCUGCAGGACUGCGAGGCGACCUGUGAAACCGACCCAGGCAUCCCAACAAGAACAAAAGCGUGGUCCUGUGGCCGUGUCCACAGCAAGUUCCACUUUCACCUUGCUCAUUUCUGCAUUGUUGGAAGUGUUUACAACCAGCAUGUGCUUUCAUAAUACAACCUCAGGUAUUGAAGUUUUCUUCUCCCUGUAUGUGUUCCUGGACCAAACUGAGGGUUGGGCUGCUAUUUCUCAUGGCCCAAUAACAAGAUGCAGAUGAACUGGGGAGGAGCUCCCUGCAACCAGUUACAGGGAGAAGGCCUGGAAAUUAUCACCAGAUCAUUCAAAACUACAAAGUUUUCCAGAGCUUAUAUACCUUCUAAGAUAUAUGUCUAUAUGGAAGAGUGCAUUCAUCUAAAGACAUAAGUGAUUAACUUCUUUUGAUCUAUAACUAAGGUCUGAGUCCUGAAGACCAUCCUCUAAAGCCUCAGUAAAUUUACCUAAUAUAAAAGGGUCCAGGUACUGGGGUGAUUACCCUUAUCUUGUCUCCUACUAAAUCAUAGAGGUUUGGGGAGUUCCUUCAGACCCCCAAUAAACUUGUUUGUGAAGGCCUGGGGAGUUUCUUCAGACCCACAGUAAAACUUGUUUAAUCCUAAAUGGGUCCUGUUAAAAAUUUCUUCAUUAGUUUGUCAUGCUUUAAGGCCCAGGGAAGGCCUAGGCAAAACUCUUGGUGGGCUGUUGUUACAUCCCAGCCUUUGUCUAAGGGCAUUGGCUUUUAAUAUUUAACUUAACCACUCAGUCAGUACUGUUAUGGAGGCCUGUGUUAGUGAGAUCUGGCCUGCCACAAUCCCCUCUGUCAAUUUGUGCAUGAUUUCUAUCAUGCUUGUAUAUUGAUUUAUCAUGAAAAUUGUAGGGAGAUGGGGCAUCACAAUCUUUCUGGCUACUUCCUACUGAGAGGGGGGUGCUGUUAUGUGGCACCAAAUGCAGUGCUGGAGUGGAAGAAGUCAAUUUGUUCCCGGUAGCGCUCUUUGUUUCAGGGGCUUAGAGGCAGUGCCUGCUGAAACAUAAUAGUAUGCAACAGCAACACAUAUAAAUAGGUUGCUGCUGUUUUCUUCUGAAGUUUAAGUUGUCUGGUCUUCAGUUCAUAGGGCUUUAAGAAAGCACAGCUUAGGUUUUAGUGAUUUCCAAUA
ensembl:lncRNA VENTXP1 VENT homeobox pseudogene 1